CUAAACUCAGUGUCAGCUUUAAUUCACUUCUAUGAUGUUUUCCAAGACAGAAAAAAUCACCUUUUUGCAAGUAGUGACUUGGAACUCUGCAAAAGCAGUAUGUUGCUGAAUACAGCUUUCAUUCACUACCAUGGUGUUUUCCCAGGCUGAAAAAUCUGGUUUUUGGAAACUGUGUCUUGUAACUCUGUGAAAGCAGUAUAUUGCUCCAUUUUGAAAACUAAGCUGAAUGCAGCUUUCAGUCACUUCUACAGUGAUUGCCCAUGCUGAAAAAUCACUUUUUUCAUUCAGUGACUUAGAACUCUGCAAAAGCAAUGUUUUGAUGAAUACAGCUUUCAUUCACUUCUUUUAUGUUUUCCCAGGGUGAAAAAUCACUUUUUUGUGAACAGUGACUUGGAUAUCUGUGAAAGAAGUAUGUUGAUCAGUUUUGAAAACGAAGCUGAAUACGGCUUUCAUUCACAUCUUAAGUGUUUGCCAUGAAGAAAAAUCAAUUUUUUGCAACAGUGACUGGAAAUCUGAGCUUCAAAAUCACAUUUUUGCAAACAGACUUGGAACUCUGCAAAAGCAGUAUUUUCCUGGAUACAGCUUUCAUUCACUCCUUUGCUGUUUCCCCAGGAUGAAAAUUCAGUUUUGCAAACAGUUACUUGGAACUCAGUGAAAGAAGCAUUAAAAUCACUUUCUUCAAACAGUGACUUGGAAGUCGGCAAAAGCUAACCUGUGAAUUAAUGGCAAAAUGGAAUUAAGUUUGCUCAUCAACUCAUCUUAAAAUAGUGAGAAUAUCCUGAAUUAUCUGGGUGGCCUAACGUAAUCACAAGAGUCCUGAAAAAUAGAUGAAGAAUUAGAAGAGAGAACCAGAGAGACAGCAGUGAGAAGACUCACCAUGCCACUGUUGCCUUCAAGGUUGAGGAAGAGACCAGGAGCCAAGGAAUGCGGGCAACUUUAGAGGCUGCAAAAGGCAAGGAACUAGAUUUUCCCAAGAGCUUCCAGAAAGGAAUAUGGCCCUAUCUGCACCUUGAUUGCAGCUCAAUGGGAUCUGUGUUGGACUUCUGACAUCCAGAACUGUAUUACAAAUUUGCAUUUGUUUUUAAAGUUGUUGCAUGAAAGUGACUCUGUGCUCCCAAACUCAAAUGCUUACAGGGCACAAGCAUAAAUAAAAUGACAAAUGUUCACUGAGAAUUUCGAGAAGAUAAUAUGGAGGUGAGAGAACUAAAGGGAACUGGGGAACACAUGUCUUGCCUAAAAGGAGAUGCUGCUCUUUAACCCCAGCUAUGGUUGCCAGCAGGCCGUGUGGACCCAGUUUUGCCAGCUCUUCGAAAUUUUCAACAGGGGCCAGAAAUAUGAAUUUUAACGUAAAUUUUUUUGAUUUUCAAGUGCUAUUUUUUCAGCGCACACUUUAUGUGUCAAUAGCAUUCUUCCUAAAUAUAACACUUCUGUGUAUCAGAUCCAACACAAAGUUGGCCAGGUAGCCACUUUUGUUUGUGGCAGAAAUGGUAUACUCAUAGUACAGAAAUGGCCGCUCCUCCCUCCAUAGCAAACAUGAGCAGCAGAGAAAGAAAAGAAAAUCUCUGAGUCCCAACAGAGUGGUGCAGUUCUGGUUUAAUUGUCCUGAUCAUAUAUAUGUCUAUGGCCAACAGUGCACCCCAGUAUCACAGAUACUUACCUUUAGCUAGUUCCCAAUCACUGCCUUUAUGAAAAGAAGUGAAAAGUGGAGCAUGUUUGGAUCCAGAAUCACUGCUAUAUUUUCAUUUCCUUUUCUCUCUACAUCUCACAAAGCCUAGAGUCCCAGACCCUGUGAAACAAUGUCUCCCAGACCCAGCAGCCUGCCAGGGCUUCAAAGGACUUUACCAUCUAACUUGCUCAGUAUGCUAAAGCCUCAUGCAUCUACCAUGACAUAAUUAGACAAAAAAGACAUGAAGAAACACUCCAUGCCCUAAAACUCUAGUGACUUUAAGGGAUUAUUUCUAACUUGCAAUUAGCAUUUGUUUAGCAGCUACUGGAAAGUGGCUUAGGUGGGUUCUACAAAAGUAAGAGGUGGUUCCAAUUGGAUUCCAAAUUGUAACCUUUAUUUCAAUCCAGAACAGUUAGGAGUAAUUUAUAUAUAUUUGCUUUUUUUAUUUAUUCAUUUAUUUAUUCUGUUAAAACAGGGCUUGCAAAUAUAAGAAAUAUAAUGCAAAUAGGUGAAGUGGACUGGGCAUAUUCUUUCAACAUAAACACAAUUUGCUCAAGUAAAGAAUAUUUCUACAUGCUCAAUGUGCAAACAAAUAGUCUUACUCCCAUUUUCCUGAAACAUGUGGUUCUCACAAUUUUUCCUUUCCCUUUGAUAGGAAUAAAGAUGCUUACCUUGGGUUUCCUCAAAAGCAGAAUCUGAAACCAGGGUUUGAAUACAAAUAGUUUCUUUGGAGAUCACCCCAGUAAGCUCUGGUAAGGGCAUGAGCAGGUGGGAUGAGACGGGAAAGCAACUAAUAAAGGGUAUGUUACCAAGCACUGUGGGCCAUUGGGGACUGACCUGCUGUGGGCUCUUUAGGGGGCAAAGUAGAGCAGGCCUCAGAGCCGUCCCAUCUCAGGGAUAAGGAAGCUGGGGCUCUUAUCCUAAUUUCUUGUCUGUCAUUUGUUGUGGGAUGUUUCUGGCAGCAUUAACUCCCCAGCACUCCUGUUACAAGCUGUAACCAGUAAUAAGCAGUUCGGAGCAUAAGAGGCAAAAGCCAAGGGGAAAUAUGUAUAGGGAACCAAGAGCAUCUGCUAAAGCUUAGAUAAAUAAUUCAUUUUCUUCUCGACUGCAUAUAAUAAAACCAAAAGCACAAGUGACCAACUGACAUUCAGGGCAAUAGGGAGUGGUAUAGACUGGGGAAAACUGGAGAGUCCCCACCCUGUCAAGAUGGGGACAUGAGCCAGCUUCAGCUUGGUAGUUGCGUUGCAGUAAUGUACCCUAGGUUUUUCAGAUCUUCUGAGCUGGGAGUCUGAAUCUUUCUGCAACAUCUCUUGAUUUUUAAAUGUUGGGAACUAAUUGAAUAAAAUUUUUAAACACUCUGCAGCUUCAGGGCUGAAUUUUCCCAUGUGUGGCCAGUUUGCAUCCCCUGAUUUAAAAUUUUGUUUCAGUACCUAUAUACUGGCCAGAAUUUUACUGUGUGCCAUGGGGACUCAAAGAUGCCCUAGAUACAGCCCAAUUUCAGGGAAUUUAUGGAUGGCCUGGUUGAUAGCGAAGAUGAUUGCAGAACGAUCUGGAAUAUAGUAACAUGAACAGAUAGAACAAAAGACUGUUGAAGAGUCUGAAGAGUCAUAAGAUUUUGAAGAAAGAUAAACAUCAUUUAAGCCGUUUUAUUGCUGAGUUCAGAGACAGCCAAUCAAUACUAACUGACAUUCAAUACUAUUGUUCAACAAAUAUGUUCAUUUACUAUGUAUAGAACCCAGCACCAUCCUAUUCAAAACAAGGGCAGAAGACAGUACAUCAGCCAGAAAAAAAAGAAGGUUUAACUCACAUCAUAAGGGACAGAAACCUAUAAGGGAUGAAGUAAAAAUGGCGGUAAAGCAGGUGAAGUUUGUCUUUAACACACUGAUAUCCCACAAGAUCCUUUCUGAAGCCACUUUCACGUCAGGAAUUUGGUAACCUCAUAGUCCCAGAACACUACCUCCCAGAGCACUGGGCCCCAAAUCUCCUCCCUCUCAACUGUGUGCCAGGUCCUCCUCUCCAACAAGGGGCUGCAGGAGUCAGACAGUGCUUCCAAAAGGCCCACACCCACUUCAAGGGAUGCAUUGGCAUACAGAAGGAAAAAAUAAGAAAUUUUUAUGGCUUAUAAUUUAUUUUUAUCUAAGACAUAAGGAAAAAAUAAACUUUACUAAUAUUCAAUAUAUGCUUGUGCCUUGAUCCCUCCCCCAGCUUAUUUGUCUGAUGGGCACAUGUCCCACAUGGUCUGUGAGGUACCUUGAGGAGAGUAAGGAUUUUCACAGAUCAGAACUGAGUGUUCCUUUUCAGCUAAUGGUGACAUAUGAAGUUUACUGUGCCUGAUUAGUGAAUUUACGGAUAGCAAUAUCUCUUUUUUAACUAAAUCAAUGCUCAUCAAAUGGACAGGAGGCUAAAAGGAACAGAAAGUUCAGAGUGGAGAUGAUACUGAUGUUGUGAGUACAGAGAGCCAUCAAGAAAAUGGGGUGAAAGUUCUCAUCCUGUAGUUUGAGCUCUUUGUCAGCCACAUUAUGAGGUUCAAACUGUGAUUAUCUAAUUAGAUUGGUCAAAAAAGACAACAAAAAUAAGCAAAAUAAUCAAUAAGGUUUUACAUCUACUGAUGUGAACGAAAGCCUCAGCCUGUCUCGAUUGUGCCUUUAGAUAUUAGCUGAAGACAAUAGCACAUACUUAUAAUGUAUAAAUAAAUAUUGGGGUUAUAUGUUCAAAAGGCUUUGUUAAUGGGGUGCAUGAUAAAAACUCAGAUACUACUGAGCUAAAUGAGUAAGGUUAAUUAGAACAAAUUAUUGAACAAGGAAAAGAAAAUACCAUUAAAAAAAAAAAAAAAACCCUUCUCUCGCUCUUUCCUCAUGAGGUCCAAAUAUAUUUAACCUGUUAACCAAAAUAGGAAACAGAGAAGAACCUGGAAUUGAAAUUACUGAUCAAUCUCCUUACUUGUAGAAAAUAGCCAAGCAUCUAAACCUGUGUUUUGUCAGAGCUUCAAGUCAGUUUCCUCAAGGCAUCCUAAUGAAAUUGGCCUUCAUCCUGUCCAAAUCACCGGAGGUUGGAGAGUUUACGCAAUAAGGGAAGCCGACCACAGGGCACUGAUUUUCUACACUGCUUUCCCAAAGUAAGCAUCUGACUUUACAAAAUACUGAUUCCAGGCAAAGGGGGGACUUCUGCUGCAGAAUUAGGUUAUGCUGCACUGGAGGAGACCCUUUUGUGCACCAGGCUCUGGCUGCCUCUCUUGCCCUGGUGAUUGACUUUUCAAUAG